UAUCUUUUGGCACAAAAGUGUGAGGGAAAACAACACUUGGCUUUAGAAUCUUAUCUACCGUUAUAUGGUUCUUGUCUCUUCCUAAACGCAAGAAUGGCGAAUGUUAAUGUCAACGCACACAACGCUGUACUCAGAAAUAUCUGAAAGGCUAGAUGAAGGCGUGCAGCCAAAUUAAGAUGGCAAGCAGAGAGGAAUAUUAAGUGGAUUAAAGUCCCUAGUACCAGAACUUGAAGCUAUUUUUUCAGGUUACAUCCACCUGAUGAUCAACCACUCAGAAAUUACUUUGUUGACCCUUGUACUGGAGCACAUAGCAACACCAUGGAGGGCUUCUGGAGUACAAAAUGCACAUAUGAUGCAACUUGUUUGGUUCCAUCUGCAAGCAGAGCACAUCAGUAUUCAAAAUGGUAUCCAUUCCUGAAUUGGUUGUUUCAAGAUUGAAUGAAGGAAAGAAAGAUGUUCUCCUUCUGGUCUCCGUGAGCUUUUCAGGACCCGCCAAGCAAGAGUGCAGACACUGUUUGUUUUCAAAGGUCGUCGACUGCAGUGGAUUAUUGGACCUUGAUUGACUCCAUGAGGUGUCCA